UUCCGACCUGCACGAAUGGCGUAAUGAUGGCCAGGCUGUCUCCACCCGAGACUCAGUGAAAUUGAACUCGCUGUGAAGAUGCAGUGUACCCGCGGCAAGACGGAAAGACCCCGUGAACCUUUACUAUAGCUUGACACUGAACAUUGAGCCUUGAUGUGUAGGAUAGGUGGGAGGCUUUGAAGUGUGGACGCCAGUCUGCAUGGAGCCGACCUUGAAAUACCACCCUUUAAUGUUUGAUGUUCUAACGUUGACCCGUGAUCCGGGUUGCGGACAGUGUCUGGUGGGUAGUUUGACUGGGGCGGUCUCCUCCUAAAGAGUAACGGAGGAGCACGAAGGUUGGCUAAUCCUGGUCGGACAUCAGGAGGUUAGUGCAAUGGCAUAAGCCAGCUUGACUGCGAGCGUGACGGCGCGAGCAGGUGCGAAAGCAGGUCAUAGUGAUCCGGUGGUUCUGAAUGGAAGGGCCAUCGCUCAACGGAUAAAAGGUACUCCGGGGAUAACAGGCUGAUACCGCCCAAGAGUUCAUAUCGACGGCGGUGUUUGGCACCUCGAUGUCGGCUCAUCACAUCCUGGGGCUGAAGUAGGUCCCAAGGGUAUGGCUGUUCGCCAUUUAAAGUGGUACGCGAGCUGGGUUUAGAACGUCGUGAGACAGUUCGGUCCCUAUCUGCCGUGGGCGCUGGAGAACUGAGGGGGGCUGCUCCUAGUACGAGAGGACCGGAGUGGACGCAUCACUGGUGUUCGGGUUGUCAUGCCAAUGGCACUGCCCGGUAGCUAAAUGCGGAAGAGAUAAGUGCUGAAAGCAUCUAAGCACGAAACUUGCC
rnacentral:rRNA from 1 species